ACGCUGGCGGCACGCCUAACACAUGCAAGUCGAACGAAGUAGCAAUACUUAGUGGCAGACGGGUGAGUAACAUGUAGGUAUCUACCCUUUGGCCUGGAAUAACACGAGGAAACUUGUGCUAAUACCAGAUAAGUCUUUACGGAGAAAGCUUUAUGCACCAUUGGAUGAGCCUGCACUUGAUUAGUUUGUUGGUGGGGUAAUGGCCUACCAAGACUGUGAUCAAUAGCUGAUUUGAGAGGAUGAUCAGCCACAUUGGGACUGAGACACGGCCCAAACUCCUACGGGAGGCAGCAGUGGGGAAUCUUGCACAAUGGAGGAAACUCUGAUGCAGCGAUGCCGCGUGAGUGAAGAAGGCCCUUGGGUUGUAAAGCUCUUUCGUCGGGGAAGAAAAUGACUGUACCCGAAUAAGAAGGUCCGGCUAACUUCGUGCCAGCAGCCGCGGUAAUACGAAGGGACCUAGCGUAGUUCGGAAUUACUGGGCUUAAAGAGUUCGUAGGUGGUUGAAAAAGUUGGUGGUGAAAUCCCAGAGCUUAACUCUGGAACUGCCAUCAAAACUUUUCAGCUAGAGUAUGAUAGAGGAAAGCAGAAUUUCUAGUGUAGAGGUGAAAUUCGUAGAUAUUAGAAAGAAUACCAAUUGCGAAGGCAGCUUUCUGGAUCAUUACUGACACUGAGGAACGAAAGCAUGGGUAGCGAAGAGGAUUAGAUACCCUCGUAGUCCAUGCCGUAAACGAUGUGUGUUAGACGUUGGAAAUUUAUUUUCAGUGUCGCAGCGAAAGCGAUAAACACACCGCCUGGGGAGUACG
rnacentral:rRNA from 1 species